rnacentral:lncRNA from 1 species
CCCUAAGGGCACAUGUUCUCACAAUGUGUGCACUGAGGCUGCUGCAGUUCCUCGGCGACACGUAGCACCAUGAGGGAACAAGUCGACGGAGAGCAGUGCGAACGAGUGGCCCAUGGGACCUUUUCCCUGGCAGAUCCAUGUGGUGUAAGUGCCGGAUCUAGCCUCGGAGGUUGCUAAUUCGGCUUGUUGCUGACCAUCGCAAACAUGAUGGGAAGAGAGAUGAAAAGUUUGGAGAAAAUGAGG